UUUCCCCACCUGGCAGCGCGGCGUCGGCUCGGCUCCGGGUGCGGCACAAAGCCGUGCUUAGCGGCGUCACGGCAAGCAAGCCGCUAGCAACGGCACGCGUUCCAACGGGCUGCCACCCGCACAGCGCCCGCCCCAGCCGCGCGCCGCCCCGGCAACGGCUUCCUGCCCUCCUCCUCGCGCCUCCUCCUCUGUCUCUCCCGCGGCCGCGGCCGGGGCUGCCCGACGGAGCGGGGAGGUGCGGGGCCGCGGCCGUCGGUACCUCCCGGGGCUCCGUCCGCAGCGCCCAUCCGGGCUGCGCCCUUCAAAGCGGCGUCCGGGGCGCCGGCCUGCGGGCACGGCACCGCCAUCCCCGGCUGUGGCCGGUUUUGUCCUCCCGUGAUAUUGGUUUAGCAAUAAAGCAACUUGGAUGAUGA